rnacentral:rRNA from 1 species
AGACCCGAAACCCGGUGAUCUAGCCAUGGGCAGGUUGAAGGUUGGGUAACACUAACUGGAGGACCGAACCGACUAAUGUUGAAAAAUUAGCGGAUGACCUGUGGCUGGGGGUGAAAGGCCAAUCAAACCGGGAGAUAGCUGGUUCUCCCCGAAAGCUAUUUAGGUAGCGCCUCGUGAAUUCAUCUCCGGGGGUAGAGCACUGUUUCGGCUAGGGGGCCAUCCCGGCUUACCAACCCGAUGCAAACUGCGAAUACCGGAGAAUGUUAUCACGGGAGACACACGGCGGGUGCUAACGUCCGUCGUGAAGAGGGAAACAACCCAGACCGCCAGCUAAGGUCCCAAAGUCAUGGUUAAGUGGGAAACGAUGUGGGAAGGCACAGACAGCCAGGAUGUUGGCUUAGAAGCAGCCAUCAUUU